CCCUGGGUGGCUCAGUUGGUUAAGCAUCUGACUUCGGCUCAGGUCAUGACCUCACGGCUCGUGGGUUCGAACCCCACCUCAGGCU
rnacentral:tRNA from 1 species